rnacentral:tRNA from 1 species
GCCUUCAUGGUGUAAUGGUAACACACUCUGUGCAUAUUCAAGAAGUCCAAGUUCGAAUCGGGGUGAAGGCA